rnacentral:rRNA from 1 species
AUUGAACGCUGGCGGCAUGCCUUACACAUGCAAGUCGAACGGCAGCAUAGGAGCUUGCUCCUGAUGGCGAGUGGCGAACGGGUGAGUAAUAUAUCGGAACGUGCCCUAGAGUGGGGGAUAACUAGUCGAAAGACUAGCUAAUACCGCAUACGAUAUACGGAUGAAAGUGGGGGAUCGCAAGACCUCAUGCUCCUGGAGCGGCCGAAAUCUGAUUAGCUAGUUGGUGGGGUAAAAGCCUACGAAGGCGACGAUCAGUAGCUGGUCUGAGAGGACGACCAGCCACACUGGGACUGAGACACGGCCCAGACUCCUACGGGAGGCAGCAGUGGGGAAUUUUGGACAAUGGGGGCAACCCUGAUCCAGCAAUGCCGCGUGAGUGAAGAAGGCCUUCGGGUUGUAAAGCUCUUUUGUCAGGGAAGAAACGGUAGUAGCUAAUAUCUAUUACUAAUGACGGUACCUGAAGAAUAAGCACCGGCUAACUACGUGCCAGCAGCCGCCGUAA